UACGAAGGGGGCUAGCGUUGCUCGGAAUCACUGGGCGUAAAGCGCACGUAGGCGGCUUCUUAAGUCAGGGGUGAAAUCCUGGAGCUCAACUCCAGAACUGCCUUUGAUACUGAGGAGCUCGAGUCCGGAAGAGGUGAGUGGAACUGCGAGUGUAGAGGUGAAAUUCGUAGAUAUCGCAAGAACACCAGUGGCGAAGGCGGCUCACUGGCCCAUACUGACGCUGAGGCACGAAAGCGUGGGGAGCAAACAGGG
rnacentral:rRNA from 1 species